UCGGGGGACAAAGUGACAGGUGGUGCAUGGUUGUCGUCAGCUCGUGUCGUGAGAUGUUGGGUUAAGUCCCGCAACGAGCGCAACCCUUAAGCUUAGUUGCCAUCAUUAAGUUGGGCACUCUAAGUUGACUGCCGGUGACAAACCGGAGGAAGGUGGGGAUGACGUCAAAUCAUCAUGCCCCUUAUGAUUUGGGCUACACACGUGCUACAAUGGACAAUACAAAGGGCAGCGAAACCGCGAGGUCAAGCAAAUCCCAUAAAGUUGUUCUCAGUUCGGAUUGUAGUCUGCAACUCGACUACAUGAAGCUGGAAUCGCUAGUAAUCGUAGAUCAGCAUGCUACGGUGAAUACGUUCCCGGGUCUUGUACACACCGCCCGUCACACCACGAGAGUUUGUAACACCCGAAGCCGGUGGAGUAACCUUUUAGGAGCUAGCCGUCGAAGGUGGGACAAAUGAUUGGGGUGAAGUCGUAACAAGGUAGCCGUAUCGGAAGGUGCGGCUGGAUCACCUCCUUU
rnacentral:rRNA from 1 species